GCCUGGGUGGCUCAGUCGGUUGAGCGGCUGACUUCAGCUCAGGUCAUGAUCUCCCGGUGUGUGAGUUUGAGCCCCGCGUCGGGCU
rfam:Felis catus isolate Cinnamon breed Abyssinian chromosome B1, whole genome shotgun sequence.